UGUAAUUAAUGCUCCCCAAAUGGUGUACACUUGUGCAUCAGGAAGCUUCAGGGAAUGCCUGGAAGCAAGAUGUCUUUGGGAAUUAACCUGCAAGAACAAGAAGAAGAAAUGUAGGACUCAGCACUCCUUUUUGAGAUUAAUUCAUCUCUUGCCCUGUCUUCAGUCUUCUCAAUAUUGCCCAGAGGUGGAAAACAAGCUGAUGAAGGAAGUGUCUUUUGGGGCUCAUAGGAAUUCCACAUCCUGGGAGACAAAUAAGAACUCAGCACCUUGGGAGACAAAUAAAUCUUCCAGUAUGGAAACAGACUUUCUGAAAAAAAAAAAUAAUCCUGGCUGUAAAGAUGCUUCCCUAUAGCUCUGACCUCUCAUGUUGUUUUGGUCACAGAACCUCAGAUGGAUGGAGGGAUGAGGAUAUUUAUCCUUACUGUAGUGGUCUGAGGGGGAGGUCCCACAAGUAAACAUUUUGGAUUUUCCCCAGAGUAAUAUUGCAAUUGCCAUUUCUACCAUUAGCAGUCUGCUGUUACCUCACCCUUCUCUGUGUAAUGUGUCACCAAAAUCAGUUCUGCUGCUUGUUUGCCAUUGGAUGGACAUUACAAUUAAAGGCUUGCUAAUUUCUGAUCUUUUAUAUGGAACAAUAAUGAAACUAUUUGAAAAAU